AAACCAACAGGGAUUGCCUCAGUAACGGCGAGUGAAGCGGCAAAAGCUCAAAUUUGAAAUCCCCCCGGGGAGUUGUAAUUUGAAGAUUGCGUCUUGGAGGCGACCGUGUCUAUGUUCCUUGGAACAGGACGUCACAGAGGGUGAGAAUCCCGUGCGGCACGGCCCCCGGCUCCUUAUAAGGCGCUCUCGACGAGUCGAGUUGUUUGGGAAUGCAGCUCAAAGUGGGUGGUAAAUUCCAUCUAAAGCUAAAUACAGGCGAGAGACCGAUAGCGAACAAGUACAGUGAUGGAAAGAUGAAAAGCACUUUGAAAAGAGAGUGAAACAGCACGUGAAAUUGUUGAAAGGGAAGGGCAUGCCGUCAGAUUGUCAGUGUGGGUAAGAAGCGGGGUACAAAGACUGUGGAACGUGGCCCUCGGGUGUUAUAGCCGCAGUUCAUGCCCCGUCUCUUUCCGAGGCCUGCUUUGAGGACACCGACGUAAUGACGGUACGCCGCCCGUCUUGAAACACGGACCACCGUCUGAAACACGGACCACC
rnacentral:rRNA from 1 species